rnacentral:misc_RNA from 1 species
CUCUUGUUCACUUUCUUCCAUAUUGAUCUUCAAACAAAGUUGGAAGCUCCAAAGCCCGUGGUAAUCGGAUAUGCAGCGCUUCCAUUAUCUACACAUGCUCAGUUGAGAUCUGAAAUUUCCUUACCAAUCAUGAGAGAGCUGGUUCCACAUUAUCUCCAGGAUAUUGGCAAGGAGAGGCUGGAGCUGGAUUAUUUGGAAGAUGGGAAGAAUGUCUUUAGAUUGCGCAUGAAACUUUGUUCAUCAUUGUACCCUAUAAAUGAGCGCAUUAGAGAUUUUUUCCUUGAAUAUGAUAGGCA